CUUUAAACUUUUCUUACUCUGAAAAUUAUGUUGUAACCAUGAUGUUUCAGUGGAGUGUUAAAUCACUUCACAGUAAGAGAUUUCUGCAUUUAAAUGUCAAAUCAAAUGGCUCAAUCCACUGAGUGGCAGAUGUAUUUUAGUCAGCAGUGCUUUUAUGAAAAAACACUCUUAGGAUUGCUCUUCCUGUCAAAACUCCCAGCCUGGAUCUGGGCGAGGGAGGCAGAUCUCUUUGGCAUAGAAAAGGGCUUCUGAGGGGCUGCAGGAGCUAGGGUGGCCCAGGCCAGGUGUGGGGAUGAGCCCCUCAAUGCCUGCCCCAGCACGAGAGCCAGUGAGCAGAGAGCAACACAACAAAAACUCCCCUUCAGGGCUAAAGAGAGGGUGCAAUUCCUUGGACCAUGAGCUGCAGCUUAAUCUUUGCCAGAGGGCUUCCUGGAUGUGUGAGCUGCAGCAUGUGGCCCAGCUUUUGCCUGCCAUUAAUCAGCCGCUUGAUACUUCCUUGGCUUGUGGGGGGGCGCUUUUCUCACUUCUCUGGGAUGCUGGGCUGCCCUUUGGGUGGAGAGCAGCAGCUUCUAGAGAGCAUCCAGCUGUUGGGAGCCUGGGUGCCUGGCAGUCAAGCAGUUCUUUUGACACUGAAAUUGAGGAAAUCUAGGAGAGAACAGAAAAUUAAAAACCCUCUAAAACAAUAAAACAAAAAUAAUAAUUAUAUAUAUAUAAGCAAUAAUAAAAUCAAACACUAAUACUUCAUGGGGGGAAAUGCAGAGAGAUGUCUGAGGUGAAAAUACAGACAGCUUUAAUUAUAACUGUGGUUAUAUAAUUGUUUAUUUAUUUGUUUGUUUAUUGUCUUGCUUAUUAGAGCACUGUUCAUCACAACUCCCCUCUCAGCACCAGGCAAUGGCAGGGGCUGUGGGAGAGGGAUUGCUGGUUUGGGAGUGAGAGCUAGUCUGCACCAACCCCCCAUGCCAAACCAGGGGAGGGGAUCUGCUGAGGUGCCUCAGCACCUCUGCUUGGUAAAAUCCUUCAGGCAUGUAUUCAUGGGGUUUAUGUGAUAAAUGUUUUCAAUACUGAGAAGUGUAGCACAAGGCAUUUUUUUUUCCUCUAGGGGAAAAAUAAGGAUUUUCUUCCAAUUUUCUGUGCUUUUGUGUAUCUUUCCUAUUAGGUGCUCCUAGAAAAAUAAACACAAAUUAGCUUAUAGUAAAACUAUAAUUUGCAUAUUUGUAAGAUGUACAUGAAGUCUUGUCUGGUGAUAAGGAAUGCCUUUUAAGCAUUUUGAAAGGACAAGGAACAAUUGUAACCCAUCUUUUGUUCCUCAUGGAGGUGGUCAUGACACAAGGGUUGGCUUUUCUGAGGUUGGCAGCACCUCUGGGGUAGAUGGACCAUCAUCCUCAUUAUCAGCUGACAGACCUGCCGCUUCCAGAGCCUCACACCUCUUGUGUAGAGGCACCAGAGGAGGUGAGGCAGAUACCUGGAGAGGGUUCACCUGCCACCCUAAGCACAGAUUUGCCUCUAUUCUCUCCUUUACUGUAAGGUACUGCCUUCUCUGUGGUUGGGGGUGGGGGUGCAGGGUGUGGGAUACAGGAUCUUGAUGUUUUUUCUCACACAUGUUCCUAUUUCUGUCUCAGGGAAGGAAGUGUGUGGCUCCAGCAGCUUUUUCUCAGACUCCCUGAUGUUUCCUUAACCAGUCCACUUCCCUUCAAAGCUCUGCCGUCAUCCACUUGGUCACACACCUCACACAGGUGUCCUUGUUCUGCCUCGCUUAGCUCCUGUGGACUAGAGGUGCAAUACAUCAGCAACAGCAAAACCAGCCAUGCCUGAAAACAGUGACAAAGAAGACUGUCCAGCAUAGGACAACUUCUCACUGCAGAGGUCAUACCUGCUCUGAGCUCAACACUCAAUGCUGUGUCUCACCAGCUUGUUAAUAGAAAAUUAUUGGCAGAGGAAGUUUCAUAAAGCAUAUUACAACACAAACCACCAUAAUAAAGAUCUUGAACAAUAUCAAUGGGAUACAAAUAAAAACCUUGGCAUGGGUUCCUUCCCUAACACUUACACAUACACACACACUAAACACACCUCAGUGUUACUGAGGGCCUUAGGUUGAAAUGAAAAAAUGCUUUAUUUCCACUUUAAGAUUCAAUACAGAUCAAGUGACUUGCUGUGUUCAGGCAGUUUCAGGUUUCUACAGGAUUGCAAACCAUUUUGCUUUUAAAAACAAAACUAAUCUAGGAACCUUGGGGUGCUUUUUUUUCCUGGUUUGUUUUUUAUUUCUUUUUUUCAUUACAGUUUCAUAACAAGUGCUCAAAAAUAAACACUUUUCUUCUUUCAAUACUGAAGCUGUUGCUUUAUGCUACUGUCUUACAUAAUUUAACCUUAAAAACAAUCAAAAUUUUCUGCUGUAAUUUCAGACACUUCAACAUGCUCAUCUGAUCUCCAAGGACAGAAAGAAUGAUUACUAUUCAAGGAAAAAAAGUCCACUCCUAUUUUAAUUAAAAUGUGUUUGUGCUGGAAAUUACUUCAAAGUUGAAAUUAAAGAUGAAAUUAUUUCCUUUAAUCAAAGUUAUAGAACACUUAUGUUAUUAGUGUGAAUACCUAAAAGGGACAAAAAAAUUUUUUUUCCUUGUUCCAAACCUUUGCUGAGAACUGGAAUGUGGUUUUUUUCCUUACUACUUUUGGUUAUUUACAGUAUGUAAAUCACAGGUCCUGCAACAUGAGUUCUAUAUUAAAAACAUCUCAAUCUCAUACCACUGCUGGCUGGGAAUUUCUACUUAUUUUCUUUUUUAAACCCAAUUUUGCAGAUGACUUUAGCUCUUGUCAUUGUUUUUUUCCUUUCAAGGAGACACCUUGACACAGUAUCUGACAUAACAUUGAGGUUUUGAGAUCCUGAAUAUUUAGAGAUUCUGUUCAGGCCAGAGAGUCUAGAGAUGGUUUGGUGGCAAGUGCUGCAGGGGCAGCCCCACUGGGUCUCCAAGGAGGGCUCAGGAGUGAUAGCUCUUUUGCCUCAUACAUCAAGCUCCUUAGCAGCCACUGCAGUUCAUUUUUCCCCACAUGCGAGUCCUCAGUCGGAAGUUCCUCCGUGCGAUGACACGAGCUGUCACACAGACCUGGGCUCUGACUCAGAUGGUGUCUGUGUCCCUGCAGUGAUGACUCAGGCACCUGUCACUUCAGCUCUUGCCUUGUCUGCCUUCUUCAUUGUUCUUGCCAAUAGCCUACUCCAGUCCUGAGUGUCUGGCAGCUUCCACUAUUCCACUGAACACCUGCAAAUUCCAGAGAAGCAUCCUCUGUGCAGGAGGGAGUGAGACCUCACAUACCACAGGUCCCGCACAGCAUGGCAAGUACUAGAUUUCUUACCAAUAUUUUCAAAACUACAGGCAGUAACACCAUUACUUAGCAAUUGCAAACCUGCUAGAAGGCUUCACAUGCUUUUCUUUCACCAGUGAUUAGCAUGCUGUGGAAAGGUCGGGGGAAAACACUUCUGAAAAACUGUCAUUCCAAUUUCAAACAGAGGAGGACUGAGUCAUGGGAGAAACCAUUUCUCCAAGCCUAUACACUGAAUUGUGACAGAAUCAGAAUUAAAAUAUCUUGCUUUUAUUCUUCUCAAGUGUUGCUGCUGCCUUUCGUCUGUAUCUUUUCUACUUUCUGCACUUUUUGCAGAUUUUCUUGACUUUGUGUUUCUUGGUGGUGUUCUUUUAAAAAAUAAUGCAAAACUGCUUCCUCCCUUCACUUACUGCCUCCAAUUCUUUCAGGUCCCUUAUCUCCCACCUCAUAUUAAUUGAUUCAUUCCCCUCUCCAGAGUUUAGUACUAUCAAAAACUAAUUAUUGUUGCAGAGCUCCCUGUAUGUUUUGGGCUGAAAUUGUGACUUAUUAAUAAUUGCACACUUAUUCUGAUGAGAAAGCUAAAAUACUUUAAAAGCUGAAGUAAGGUGAUUAACUUUUAAAUAGAUCUCCAUUUCAUCCUGUCCAGAUUUUUGAUGACACCAUGCAGUCUCAGUAGAUCAUAUUUUCUUCAGGCUGCUCAGAGAACCUGUGAGUAAGGAUGCCUGUGAAAAUGCUUGAGUUGAUUGGAAACUGGUGAACAUUGUCCCAGUUUUCAAGAAGGGCAAGAAGCAUGACCCUGGAAACUGCAGGCCUGUCAGUCACACAUUCAGUGGUGUCACUGGUAAAAUUAUGGAGAAAAUUAUUCCUGAAGGUACUGAAAAAUGCCUGAAGGACAAUGCAGCUCUUGGCCACAGCCAGCAUGGCUUUGUGAGGGGAAAGUUCUGCUGGUUGCAUCUGAUUUAAUUUUGUGACAAAGUAACCCACCUAUGGGGCUCAAGGGAAACCAUGCAGUUUUGAUGCAGUCUUUCGGAUUUCAACAGAGAUUUCAAUACUGUCUCUUCCAGGACCCUUCUGGACAAAACACCCAGAACACAAAACACCCAGCCCACAGCUGGAUAAACAGAUCAAGUGAUGGGUACUUGUCUAAGUGCACGUGGAUGUGGGAAGGCAGGAGGUUCCUGUUUGCAAGGAAAAUGUUUUGCAGUAAUUGGUGGGUACAGAUGUGUCCUGUAGGGAUUUACAUGGAUAGUGACAAAUCAACAGCCUUGAAAGGUCCUUGACAAAUCAAUGCCAUGGCUUGACUGGGAUCUAAGAGAAACAUGUAAUGUUCUUUCCGGUCUUGAAACCUGAGUCCGAAGGCUACAGAAGCCUUGAAAUAACUUUCCAUCAUCAGCCAGGCCAAUUCCAGUUACAGCAAGGGACAGUCAGAGGAACCUGGAGAUAGAAGACCACUCAGCUACAAGAUGCACUGUUUGAAUGUUCUGCCUGAUACAAAGCAGAACAUUUGGUGGUGUAAAUGAGCCUUCCACAACCCUCCUGACCUCAGCAGCUUCAUCAGCACCAGCAGCAGUGAGAGACACUGACUGAGGCAGCCUGGCUGGGAUCCCUGCUAAGGGCACUACUUUUCCCAGAGCCAGCCUGGUGACAGCAUGACUGGAGGGCCCACCCAAAACCUCCUUAAUUCCUGGAUGCUACCACACGUCAAGGUGAUACAAAACUCCCUAAAUUCAGAAGCAAUCUAACCUUAACAGCAUCUUCUGUGGAAGAGUUGUGUCUUUAGCUUAUAGCUUCAGGGGAUGAAUGCUAUUUUCAGAGGGGGAGCUAUUCCAUAUUUGAACUACUCCAUGUGGAUUUAAUAGUGUCAUAGUAGUGAUAGCAGAAUCACGCCUUUUCUUCCCUCUGACUCUUUUGUAAAGCACCUCUGAAGCAAAGCUUACAAAGAAAUAAAAAUAAAGUGCUUAGCUUUGAUCUUCAUGAUCAAGAAAUUAUAAAUGGGCAAGACACCUAGAAUACUUACAGUAAAACUUCUUCCUGGUUAUGUUUGCUUUUCUGCAAGCGCUUUGCUGUUCUUUGAGGCUGCAUUUUACUGCAACUGAUGUUGGAUUUCCGUGCAAUCCCUACCCGCAGUUUUACGCAUGAGUGAGGGGUGUGCGAUGAAGGGCGAUGGACGAAGCCAAGGCACCAUCUGGAGAGCAGCUGCCACCUCCCUGCUCUGAGCCAGGGUGGCCCUGAUGGUCAGAGCUGGCUGCCCACUGCACCCACCUGCCCCAAGGGCUGGCCUCUCCCCCACAGGGAGGCUGGAUAGGGGAAGGCUGAGACCCUUUCCCAGGACAGCCAUGCCUCAAUUCAGUGUGAGCUGAUUGCCCAGCGGCAUCACCCUUUGGCUGGACAGCGACACUAACAGCUCAUGCCUGGCUUAAUUAAGAGAAAAACCUACAAAUUUACAUGGAAGAUAACGUUUCUUUAUUUUUCUCAACCUAUAUUGUUGCACUCUCUUUUUCCCAUCUGUGCUCAGUAUCACUGAAGCAUAGUCCUGUCAUCUGAGCUUGACUUAAAAUGUUAACAUUUGAACAGGAGGGAAUUAGAGAAGCUCUGCCUUCUGCUCGCCUCUAAUAAUAAUUUGCUUUAAAAGUAUGUAUGGAUACAUAGUAAGAUGACACCUGUGCCUUGUAGGAAUGGAUUUCUCUCAAACAGAAAUAAUCAGCUGUUGCAUGGCUCAAGCACUGUAGAAGAGAUCAAAAGAGGAGUUUCAGGAUAAACAUACAUAUAAACUAAACAAAUUGAGAGACUGAAGUGAAAUCUCAUUUUUUGAGAAACAGUGCCUGUGUUUUGGAAAAGAAAAAUAGACAGAAAUCAUUGUGCUUUGAGGUCUGACCAAACUUUUCUGCUGAACUUCCAUGUAUUUUCUGACACUAUGACAAGCAAGGAGUCAGCUGAGAUGGGGAGGAUUAAUGGAAGCAGGUGGGACAUCCAUUGUAAUGUUGCAUGGAUGAUUCCAGACUUGUCCUGUUGCAGGCUUUGAGCAGGGGUGAUCUUCGGGGGCCUGUGCUCUGUAACCCCACCCCACCUACCCUCAGGAAAUUUAAUUGCCCUCCUUUUCUGCUGGAGCAGUGACAGGGCUCCCACCCAGCAAUGAAAUGCCUUUGAUACAUCGCCUACUGUGUUAUCAAUAGCGAGGAAAUUCAAUGUGCUCGCAGUGCCAAGGGGCAAAGUAACAGUUAUGGGAAGGGAAGGAAUGGUACCAGCAGUAACAUCCUGGCCUCCUCUCCCCCUGGCUGUGCUUGCCCACAGGGUGACCACAGAAGAAAAAUGCCUGAUUGAAUAAUGUUUGCGCAGAAACCAGCUGUGAAUUCCUUGGACAGCACAGUUAGGAUGCAGUUUGUCAAGUGUGUCUUUUGUGAUUGUAGCUCUAACAAGAGCUCUGCUGAUGUGCUUUUCAUCUAGCAAAAACUACAUUGCCUUUAUUCACCCUCUGUUCAAAGACCAGCUGUGAGGAUUGCACUGAAUUGUUGAAUAAUCUCUGCUAAUGCAUAAGUAAUACUUGCUGACUUAUGUGAGAGUCCUAUUUCUUACUGAAAAAACAUUUCAUUUUUAUUAGGUAAAGUAAAAAAACCCUAUUAGUAAAGACUACAACUCAAUACCAGUUUAACUUUUAUUUUGCUGCUCUAUUUCCUCUCAUAAUUGUGUAAAUUGGUGGCUACCUUCUUUAAAAACAAAAGUAAAAACCAAACACUCAACAAAAACAACAAAGAACUAAUCCAACUAAUCCUACCAGAAACCUCUCACAAAAAAUUAACUAGUACUUUCAGCACAGAACUCCUGCUGAUUGAGGAGGAAAAGAUUUGGUGGUGGAUACAGGCAGACCACUGGAGAAAAGCCCUAAAUAUUAACACCAGCAUCAAGAUGCCAUCUUGAAGAGGUGAUAUGCAGGUCCUUAUUGCAAUACUCAUAUUUUUUCCCAUUGCUGGAACAUUUUCCUCUAGCUUUUACAGUGAACAUUUCCUACAGAGCCACCUAAAUCCUCAGACACUGGUGCAUGUACCCACUAUCAAAUGAGUAGAGUACAACUGACCUUCUGCAUGCACAGGCAGGGUAAUGAGGAAAUUUGACAGGGCACUUAAUUAUGAGCUUCUUAAUACAAUUGGUGCAAAAUGGGUCUUCUGCCUUGGAAAGCAAGGUGCCACAGGUGGGCUUUCCACCCCUCUGCCCUGCCCUCCCUACAACACAGACCAGCUGCACACGUGAAAACUGAGUUUGAGAAGCAGCUCUUACCCGUGGCUCACAGUCCUGUGCAUCACUCAUUUUGCCCAUGCACUAUAGGUUAUUUACCCAAUCAGCCUUUUUCCUUUAUAGCUGUAUUUGUGCCCAAGCUGCCUGGUUAUAACCUGCUUCAUCUACUUACAAAAAUAAAAUUUAUUUUAAAUGUA